AAUACAGACAUAUGGAUAUAUUAUUGUAAAAUAUAAAGCUAAGAAAAUAAUUUUUAUACUUUUAUUCUUCAUUAUAGAUCCAACACAUGUCCAUAGAUCUUGGCUGUCCAAUCAUGUAUGCGAGUUGUGCUGACGUAUGUAAUAUUGCCAUACGUAAUAUUACUUUCGGAAAAGAUGAGACCAAUUUCGGAAUAGGCUUAUAAUCCAAGUAAUAUAAAUCAAUCAGUAUGGAGACGGUUCUCUAUUUUACAGUAGUAUGACUCCGUUAUAGAAAAGCCCAUGCACAUAACUAUGUCUAAUAUAAUUAACUUAAUGUAACCACAAUUGUGAUACCCAUAUUUAAACCACAACAAUGGGGAAAACAUCAAAAGACAAGUAUGACAUAUAUUAGGAAUGCUAAGGAAGAAGGAUGGUAUGCAUGAAGUGCUUUUAAAUUACUCCAAAUUGAUCAGGAAUGUCGGAUCUUUAAUGGUGUAUCCAAAACAAUAGAUUUAUGCGCUGCACCUGGAAGCUGGAGUCAGGUCUUAGCUCUUAAGCUGAAUACAAAGGAGAGAAGUACAAGUACCACGAGCCAGUGCAGACUCCUAUAGUGCCAUUCUAUGAGGAAGCGUUAUCUUUAUCGAGAAGCAGAGACUUUCAUAUGGCUGAUGUUAAUGUGAUAAUCGAGAACGAAAAUAUGAAUAAAAUUUCUCUCUUUGAAAAGACAGUCCUACAACAGAGUCAAACCAAGAUGAAUGUAGAGGCGAAAACAGCGCAACAGGAUCAAGAUGAGAAUGAAGCGCCUAUCGAUAUGUUACAAAAUUUAUAUGUCUGAU